rnacentral:rRNA from 1 species
CCUACGGGAGGCAGCAGUGAGGAAUAUUGGUCAAUGGACGAGAGUCUGAACCAGCCAAGUAGCGUGAAGGAUGACUGCCCUAUGGGUUGUAAACUUCUUUUAUAUGGGAAUAAAAUGUUCCACGUGUGGGAUUUUGUAUGUACCAUAUGAAUAAGGAUCGGCUAACUCCGUGCCAGCAGCCGCGGUAAUACGGAGGAUCCGAGCGUUAUCCGGAUUUAUUGGGGUUAAAGGGAGCGUAGGUGGAUUGUUAAGUCAGUUGUGAAAGUUUGCGGCUCAACCGUAAAAUUGCAGUUGAAACUGGCAGUCUUGAGUACAGUAGAGGUGGGCGGAAUUCGUGGUGUAGCGGUGAAAUGCUUAGAUAUCACGAAGAACUCCGAUUGCGAAGGCAGUUCACUGGACUGCAACUGACACUGAGGCUCGAAAGUGUGGGUAUCAAACAGGAUUAGAUACCCUUGUAU